CAGACAUAGAAGCAAGAAAAAAUGUUUGUUAUGGUUCCAACUUUUUCCUGGACUCCCUUCCGGCUAGCUGUGGCGUACUAGCCCCCUUCAGGUUGUGUUCACACAGCCAACCCCAGUCCUCUCCCAGAGAUCUGACCUCCAAAGCCCAAGCCUCAGCUCCCAGCCCCCACCCACUCUGGCAGGUGCAUUCAUGUAUAUCACCAAAGCAAGUAUUGCUCUCAGCAUGGCAAUACAUAACAGAAUCUGGAAAUGGAAGAAGAAGUCAUAGAAGAAGUUGUCAAGCCU